UGUUUCCAGGUCUGCCUCGCAAGCCAGUAAAGAUUCGUUUAUGAAUCAAUUUCCUCGUAGAAACAGGAGAGCAGUUAUAAUGGAUUCCUCCCGCCGUGAUUUAUGUUUGCGAGCGCAGCCGUGUCUUGCUCCUCGCGGCUCUUAUAGAGUUUUCGGGCUUUUUAUCUUGCCCUCCGUUCACGCUGAGCCGCGCCGCUCCGUUGUGACCCUUGAAAGCUCUUCCCGCUGUCUUGUUGCCGUGGUCACCAUUAGAUGCCGCGGUGGGCUGCUUCGCCACAGCUUACGCCCUGUGUCUUUCUCUUUCAGCGUUGGGGUGAACUCCGCCGGGCCUACAGGUGAUACAGGAUUAACGCACAGCUCUUCCGCCCCACACCAGGUCGCGGGAUCCACACACUGCUCUCCGGGAAGGACGGUGCAAGAAAAGCAGGUUUGUGGGUCACCGUCAGAGCUCCCCGUCCCUCCCCCUCCCAUACGCACCGCUGC
rnacentral:lncRNA from 1 species